ensembl:lncRNA
UUCAGCUUUCUGCUGUCAAAGAAGACAUCAUCAUCAAACUGGACCAAAAAGUGAUCAAGAGUAACAGAGAUUAUUUAAUCUGUACAAGUCCCGAAGAGAACAAUGAUUAUUACCUCAAAGUUUUUGUGGGGUUUUUUUUUUGUUCUGCUCAUCACAGUCCUUGUUUUCAUCGUGUACAAGAUUACAGUUGACGAAAGCAAUCAAAAGAAAGACUUGGAGACUUUGAAGUACUCCCCCAUCGCUGCACUGGUUCUUGCUCUCAUCCUUUGUUGUUUAACUGGAGUUCACUUUUAUAAAACAAAUACUGAUUUCUCCGUAAUUCUUCGAUCUGAUUAUGCGUUGAAAUGGAGAGAGCCAUUACCUGGAAUACAAUGGGGACCCUGAAACAGGACGUAAUUAUAAGACCUUGACUUUACAUUAUUGAAGCAUUAAUGCAUUUGUUUUUUUAUUUACUGUUGAUUGAUGUGCACCCUAUUUUUUCGCUGACUUGUUGAAUGGACAUUAUAUGGCUCACUACUUGAAUGCAAACACAAGGCUGUGUUUGUAUAUUAUUUCAGUGCAAACUGUGUUUUGAAUUUAUCUUUGUACUGUGGAUUCAUAACUGUGUAGACUCACAAAUUAUCACGGUUAGCACUGGCCAACCGUGGGGAUGUGAGGAAGAAGGACCCAAAUGCUGGACUCUUUAUGAUAAACAGUGCAUUUAUUUACAGUGGUGUAAAUAAUCCACAGAAUAAUAAGUCCCCGUGUGUUCCCUUGACUCCCUUGUCGUGUCUUCCACCCACAAGUCCGUGCUCUUCCACUCCUGUGUGUCCCGCCACCCCGUGCUCACUGCUCUUGUCUUCCACGCUCCUUCCUGGAUAAAAUAACAAAGAAGCAACCAUCAGGAUACUCAACCACUGCAGGCAUGCACUCACUUAACUUGCCUCACAAAGACCACUGACGUGGAGUCUCACACAACAAUCCCGCGCCGAGGAGCGCUCGGCCACACUCUUAAGUAGCUCCCCGAUGAGGCUUCAUUAGCUGCAGGUGUGUGUGAUCAUCCGCUUCAGGCGUGGCCAGCCUCCAGAUGGGACACACCUACCAGGCCUGCCUGAAACCCAGUGCUCAGCCACACUCACAGACACACCCACUUGCCUAUACAUACAAGCAUGGAGAACACAAGAAUAGCAGCACAGUGCAGCAAACAUACAUCAUAUAUCAGUCCAUAACUGCUCAUGGACCCUGGAUCACUCAGAUCCAGGUCCCUGACACAAAUAAAACUAUGGGGAUGUUUGAGUAGUAAGUAAUGUUAGAGCAGAAAUGGAAAUGGGUUUAUGGCUGUCAUUUCUUCAAAGCUUGAUUUGUUUAAAAAAAAAAAAAAAGUUUUCAUCCUAAGUCUACGAGAUGGCAGCAGAGACUCUGUAAAUCUCCCUUUAGGGCUCACAGCAGAUUUUUGUCAGUGCGACUUGUCAUACAGUCCCGAUCAAAAGUUUAAAGACCAGUUGAAAAAUGGCAAAAAAAAUCAUAUUUUGCAUGGUUGGAUCUUCACAAGGUUCCAAGUCGAGCUUCAACACGCAACAAGAAGAAAUGAGACAAAACAUUUUUUGAGCAUGCAAUUUAUCGAAACCAACACUUAAACUGAAACAGGCUGUUUUACAGCUGAUCAGAAGUUUAGGACCACACCUGCAAAAAAACCCAUAAACUCCCCAAAACAGAAAUCAAAGUUCCAAACAUGAACUCAAUAAUGAGUAGCUCCACCGUUAUUGUUAAUCACUUCAAAAUUCAUUGAGGCAUACUUGAUGUAAGCGUUUCCAUGAGGUGAGUGGGAACAUUUCCCGAAGUGGUGAAGACGGCCACACGAAGGCAAUCUACUGUCUGGAACUGUUGUGUCUGGAUAUGUUCUAGCCUUUUUAAAGGUAUAAUACAAAGUGAUUAUCUUUUUGUGUUUACAAACACUGCCCCGCUCAACAAGUGAGCAGUGUCGGUCAAACCAGUUAGAAGAUAAAUAUAGAGAAGCAGCAUUAGCAAAAAGCCAUGAAUAAUACAUAAUUAUCAGAAAUGACAUGAAGUGACAAAGUAAAUAUAACAUUUUUUUUAAUCUGUCUAACUUAUAAACUUUUUAUGUUUGAUCUAUAUUAUAUAUGUGGGAUGGGAUUUAUGGGAUUUGGACAGCUGCAUUCAAAAAGAACAUAUUUCUUCUUCACAUACUAAAUGCCAAAUUCUAUAACCUGUUUGUGUGUUUUGAUUUUUGAGCUGGCUGUAUAUAUUUUUAAAAAGUGCAAAUUUGGGAGUAUGGAUUAAAACACAAAUUCAAAAAAUAAACUCUGCAUUUCCACAACUGAGAUCUCACCUUUCCUCUUUGGUAACGACUGCCACAGCUGCCACGGCUGCCACGAUUACCACAACUGCAAUGGAAACGAUAACUAGAACAACGAUUGCAGCUCCAAUGUCAGUGGGAUUCUCUGUUGAAUAGAAUAUGGAAGGACUUUAAUAAUAAAUUUGUGCUGUUACUUAAAAAUAAGUGAAGAACAAAUCAGUAAGGACCUGGUAGUUGAUGCAUCUUAUAUCUCUGAUUGAAAUAAUAAGAUUUAUCAGUUCCACAGUUGGUACCUCAUUACUUUUUGCUCACUUCAGUUAUCUAUCAUGUGUCCCC